CUCACUAGGGUGCCUGCCCAGACCAAUGUCUCCCCCUAUAUCCUAUCAUCCUCCCGGCUCUGAAAUGGUCUUGCCAGACCGAAAGGGCCUAACCCAACAAAACAAACAAACAAAAAAAAAACGACAGAUCGGGAUCAUUACUGCACGAGCAACCUUUGAGGUCGGCAGGCGGGAUCGACUGUGAAGCGUCUAGAGUCGGAGAGGAUAGCAAGAAAAAAUGAGGACAGUGGUGAUCAUGCUGCUGGCGGCGGGCUGCCUGCUGCUGCUGAUGUCUGCCCUGCCCGCCCUGACGUCUGCCGCCGCUGCGCCGCGGGCCGCCCACCCCCUCCUGGCCCCGGACGACGGGGGUGGCUGCUGUGACCAGUGCUGCCCCUCCUGCAAGCGGUCCUGCUACUACUGCUGCUACGCCUGACGAACUUUGUCGUGAAAUCAUCGUAACAGGCAGCUAAAAACAAGCGGUAGAUCGGGCAGACUUCAGACCGUUGACGCUGCCGGCAAUCCGCUCGUGUUUAAAUGAUAAGCAACUAAUUGGUUGACCGAUGGUGCGUACUGCGUUGCAUCAGCGUUCUUUUAUUACAAUCGAGUUAUUCGAUACGUGUGUCUGUAUUUGUUAUGUGCGACCGCCCUGUGACCGUCCUAAUAUUUUUUGUGUCUAAGGACUAUACUGAAUAUCAAAUAAAUUAUUGCUUGUUAAAAGUA